rnacentral:rRNA from 1 species
GACGAACGCUGGCGGCGGGCUUAACACAUGCAAGUCGAACGGAAAGGCCCUGCUAGUGUGGUGUGCUCGAGUGGCGAACGGGUGAGUAAGACGUGAGUAACCUGCCCUAGACUUUGGGAUAACUUCAGGAAACUGGGGCUAAUACCGUAUAGGAGCUCCUCCUGCAUGGUGGGGGUGGGAAAGUUUCGGCGGUUGGGGAUGGAUUCGCGGCUUAUCAGCUUGUUGGUGGGGUAGUGGCUUGCCAAGGCUUUGACGGGUAGCCGGCCUGAGAGGGUGACCGGCCACCUUGCGACUGCGAUACGGACCAGACUCCUACGGGAGGCAGCAGUGGGGAAUCUUGCCCAAUGGGCGGACGCCUGAUGCAGAAACGCCGCGUGCGUGAUGCCGGCCUUCGGGUUGUAAACCGCUUUCGCCUGUGACGAAGCGUGAGUGACGGUAAUGGGUAAAGAAGCACCGGCUAACUACGUG